CCUACGGGAGGCAGCAGUGGGGAAUUUUGGACAAUGGGCGCAAGCCUGAUCCAGCCAUGCCGCGUGUGGGAAGAAGGCCUUCGGGUUGUAAACCACUUUUGUCAGGGAAGAAACGGUCUGAACUAAUACUUUGGACUAAUGACGGUACCUGAAGAAUAAGCACCGGCUAACUACGUGCCAGCAGCCGCGGUAAUACGUAGGGUGCAAGCGUUAAUCGGAAUUACUGGGCGUAAAGCGUGCGCAGGCGGCUUUGCAAGACAGAUGUGAAAUCCCCGGGCUCAACCUGGGAACUGCAUUUGUGACUGCAUGGCUAGAGUACGGUAGAGGGGGAUGGAAUUCCGCGUGUAGCAGUGAAAUGCGUAGAUAUGCGGAGGAACACCGAUGGCGAAGGCAAUCCCCUGGACCUGUACUGACGCUCAUGCACGAAAGCGUGGGGAGCAAACAGGAUUAGAUACCCUGGUAGUCCACGCCCUAAACGAUGUCAACUGGUUGUUGGGAGGGUUUCUUCUCAGUAACGAAGCUAACGCGUGAAGUUGACCGCCUGGGGAGUACGGCCGCAAGGUUGAAACGUCAAAUGAAAUUGACGG
rnacentral:rRNA from 1 species